rnacentral:piRNA from 1 species
UAAAAUUGAUACGUUUAUAUUUCCUUUGC